CCUACGGGUGGCAGCAGUGGGGAAUAUUGGACAAUGGGGGGAACCCUGAUCCAGCCAUGCCGCGUGUGUGAAGAAGGCCCUCGGGUUGUAAAGCACUUUCAGUGAGGAAGAACGCCUGGUGGUUAAUACCCAUCAGGAAAGACAUCACUCACAGAAGAAGCACCGGCUAACUCCGUGCCAGCAGCCGCGGUAAUACGGAGGGUGCGAGCGUUAAUCGGAAUUACUGGGCGUAAAGCGCGCGUAGGUGGCUUGAUAAGCCGGUUGUGAAAGCCCCGGGCUCAACCUGGGAACGGCAUCCGGAACUGUCAAGCUAGAGUGCAGGAGAGGAAGGUAGAAUUCCCGGUGUAGCGGUGAAAUGCGUAGAGAUUGGGAGGAAUACCAGUGGCGAAGGCGGCCUUCUGGACUGACACUGACACUGAGGUGCGAAAGCGUGGGUAGCAAACAGGAUUAGAUACCCCAGUAGUC
rnacentral:rRNA from 1 species